UUCCUCCACGACCCCAUCAAUCUCUUCAUCCUCUUUCUUGUUCAUGUUGUCUCUUAUUUUCAAUGCCUUUUUUCUCACUCCCUCUCCAAUUUUCUCCACAAAAACAUCUCUAAUCACCUUUGCGACCUCUUCUCUUUGCAAACUUCCUUCACCUGUUCUCUUAACCUCAACACCAACACCCACCUCCUCCACUAGUCUAGCGUUGAUCGGCUGGUCAAGAUGCAUAGGCAUGGCUAUAAUUGGAACACCAAACUUGAUGCUCUCCAACACUGAGUUCCAUCCGCAGUGACUCACAAACCCCCCAACACUAGAAUGCUGCAGUAUCUUUGCCUGUGGGGCCCAACCCUCCAUUAUCACUCCCUUCUCUCCCACCCUCUGUAAAAACCCUUCUGGUAACACCUCUUCAACCCUAGUAUUUUUCUCCUCCUUAGAAAAUCUUAUAACCCAAAUGAAGCUCACUUUGCUAAGCUCUAAUCCGUGAGCUAUCUCUUCUAUUUGCUCCUUGGACAGAAAGUACUCACUGCCAAAGCAUACAUACACUACAGAAGACCUUUCCAUUUUGUUCAGCCAUUUCAUGAUCCAUGUUUCCUCAUCAACUUUUUGAUCCACUGGCUCUUGAACAAGCGUGCCAACAGGCACGAUCUUUUUCCCCAUUAAAUCAGAGAGAUAAUCAAUAUAUUUUUCUUCAAUCCCCCUGGAUGUCUUUACCAAAAUGAUGUUACAAGAUCGAGCACUGCAUUGCUGAACACGGUCUCCAUCUUUGAUGCCAUUUGCUGAAGAUUCCAACACGUUGUUGAACUUUUCAGCUUCGUAAUCUUGAAGAUAAAUCGAAGGAAAAGGAAACUUGACACUAGGGUUCUUGAGAUGUUGAAUACUAAAUGAAGUAAAGGCAGCACCCAUGGUGAUGAAUUCGAUGGAUGGAAAAUUUUGCAAUGAAGCUAGAGAGGGCGCCCAUGGUUGAAGAAAAUCAUAUAUGAGCAAAUCUGGGCUUAGGGUUUUGAGGAUGUUGGAGAAGUUGUUGCUGGACAUAUCAAAGGCCCUUUUGAGAGUGGACAUGAGAUGGGGAGGGAGGCCAUUGGUGGUAUGGUAGUGAGGUGGGAGUUCAGGCAAGUCAUCAUGUGGAAGAUGGAGUUCCACAAAUUCAAUGCAAUGAGAAUAUUUUUGGGAGAGUUUAGGCUUGAUGGAGCUGAGAUUUACAGGCGUGGAACAAAUAAAGAUGUGAAAAUUUCUCUUGGUGGUCAGCUUCUUGGCUAGCUCUAGGUAGGGAGAUAUAUGGCCGUGAGCUAGCCAUGGAAGCAUAAGAAUAGUAAGUUUUCUUUGGUCAGAGUAAACCAUAUUUUGUUUUCCUUUCACUCUUUUGCUUGAGGUUGCUCGAUUAUAGGCUUAUUGGUAGUUUUUUUGUAGCUAGCUCUAUGCAUAUAUAUAUAUAUAUACACACACAUUCAUGGGAAAAGAGGCUUGGGGAUGGGAAAUCAAUUGAUUUCCUAUGUUUGGUAAAGUUCGGGUAUGAGAAAUCGUUGCUUUGCACAUGAGAAAGUAGAGGGGAAAGUGAAGCCCUCCUCCUUCCUUAGGUUUUGUUUUCCUCCUCAUGGGAAAGUUUGGGAAAAUGAGCUAAUAUUAAAUACAUAUUUUUCAUGACCAUAUUAUCCCCAUUAAUAAUUUAGAAUUACAUAAAUGCAUUCUAUUUUUAUUUGAUUUCAUAUGGGUAUAAUUGAAAAAUUAAACAAAUUUUGUUUUACAUUCCUACACAAACCAAACAUGUGAAAGGAAAUAAAGUGGUAUUUCUUGGUUACUUUCCCAAGAUUACCAAACAUAGGAAAGGAAUCUCUAUUUCCCAUCCCUUAGAAAAUGACUUGGAAAGUAAUUUCUCCUCAAAUUCGUUCCGUGAACCAAACGGAACCUGCAUAAUAGAAGUUCCAAAAAAACACGUGAUGAUUGGAUCAUGCAUAUGUAAGUUCCCGAGUGAUGAUUGGAACAAGUUCCUAAUGAUAAAGACUCGAAACAAGAAUAGUUUAAACUUUCUUCUUUGUUUGGCUUGAUAUAAGACGAAUGCACCAAACAAACCGACUAAUUGCUGGCACAAUAUAAAUUGGGGCUACAAUUACCUAAUAAUUAGGUACUAAGGGCUACAAUUACCUAAUAAUAUCAACUUUCAUUAUACAGAUUUGAGAAACAAAAAGUUCAACUUUGAUGACAAGCGAUAUUAAAGGAGGGCGUAAUCAAACUUAGGAUCUUGAGUGUAGAAAUAAAUACUUUUAACAACUUGAGCUACAAGCCUUUUGUAAUAUUAAUGAUAUUUUAAUUAUACGUUUGAAUAGUUCGCUUCCUUCUCUUUUAUUUUCAUUUGUUUAUAUUUAACUCUAAUUUUAUUUAUAUUUUUGGUCAAGGUAAAAAGACUUUGAAUCUCUCUCCAAUGAUUUUCACAGCCGAAACUCCUUUAGUUUCCACAAAUAUUUUUUAAUAUUUCAUGCAUUUGUAAGUUUCCGACUCGGAUGGUUCAUGUAACCAAGAAGUUUAAACUUGUUUUUGCUUGUUCCGCCGACGAAAGCGCAACAAAAGGACAAACUACAACCAAUACUUCUAGUAUCACCAGUUCUCAUUGAAUUUGUUGCCGUGAAUGUUUAGGAUUCUGCCCAAACUAGUAUUUGCGUUUCUGAAUUGUUUGAAAACACAUAUGAAAUUAUGAUUUCUCCUCCCCAGAAGACAAAUUGACGAAGAAGUAUCAUGAUUUUGAUGACACAAAUUAGAAUCCAGGGUUUUCGAAGUGCCUAAUGGACAACUAUUAAUUUAGAAAUAUAUAUAUUUUUUUCGCAAUGCAGAAACACAUAAAUCCCAAGUUUGAAUUCAUCCUAUUUUUGUUUUUGUUUUUUCCUUUUUUAACCCAGAAGAAAAAUUGAGUGCCACUCUGCUAUGUAGAAUGCAAGUUUUAGUUUAGAUUUUUUUUUCUUUUUAGUCUCUUAUUCUACAUUUAGAUCUCAUAUAUUUACUCGCAUUUUAUUAAAUCUAAGUCAUUCAAACAAUCUGACCACUUAACAAAUUACAAGUACUCAAACUUAAAAUCAGAUUGGAUGGACAUGAGGCUUACACUGAUGAUUCUACACGUGCUGAGAAUAGUCCUUUUAUUUCUUUAUUAUUUUCUUGGUCGGGACUCGAGAGACAGGUGUAGUGUAGCGAUGGAGACGAGGCCCGCAAGACAUAAAAGUCUGAAGAAGAGAAGCGUGAAAGCUUCAUUUAGACAGUUAAGUGCAUACGUAACGUAAAGAUUCAAAGACUAUGUCCCUCUCCAAACAGGGAAAGAUCUGAGUUGAAAGCAACAAACUACAGUCACAAUAGGAAAGCAUCUACAACGUAAAGAAAAUAAGUUUACCAGAAGCAUCGGAAAGAUCUAGAGUCUGAAGAAGAGAUACUGAAGUAAUUGUUCAUCGACUGAGCUUAAAUGAAAUAUUAACUCUUUGUUGUGCCAUAAGCACAAGAUCUUAAGAAAAAAAUUCAAGAUAAACCAUAUAAUAUUUUCUAACCCACAAAAUAAUAUAGAAAAUAAAUGCAAGAACAAGAGAAUAGCAAGACACAACGAGGCUGCUUACAAUCAGUGUAAAUGAGCAAACAAAUUCACCAUCAACAAAUUAGCAUGCUUAUGAAGUGUUUUGCAACCUCACAAACCAAGGCGCCAUAUACACCAAAUGACUCUCACUGAAAAACUAAACAAAGAAACACACUCACACUAAUGAAAGCAACGUUACAAGGUAGGAGAUUGAAUAUUACAUUUACAAUACACUCAUAAGUUACAAAAACUAAUUACAAAUAUUUAGCGCAUAGGUUACAUAGAACUGAAAGGGUGGAAUGAUAAGAGCUAUGGUGGUCAUCCACCAACUCAUGCAUUUACAACACCGCCUCUUGAAUGUCCACCAUACAAUACAAUGAUAUAGUUGCGUCAUUAAACACUUUGCUUGAAAAACUAUAUGGGACAAAACUUAGGCUACGGGAAAAAGAGUGCAACACAAAUAAUAUUGAUAUCACAUUUGUCUCUCCUACGGAAUGAGCUUUGGUGAUGUUUGUAUAAAAAUUGCGUACAAACCAUUAUUGGAAGAUUGGGCUAGAGUGGGCUUUACCCUAGUGUUGACUUUGGAAAGAGACAAAUUAGGCUUAGUUGUGUAAAUUCAAUCCAAAAAAAAAUUAAAUAAUAGCCCACAUCUACAGCCAAAUACUUUAAUACUUUAAUUACUAAAGUUUUUUUUUCUUUCUCUCUCUUCUUUGGUUUAUUCAGCUUUUGAUUUGGCUCAAAUAAUGUUUAUAUCUCUCUUUGAUUUUGUUUUUUCAAAUUUAUUGAUGUUGCUUCUUUUGAAAAUUUUGAAAUAUGGACCCUCCCUAACUAAACCACUCCAUUGAGCAAAAGCCCUUGAGCUUCAAAUUUAUCUUCGUCUGAGCCUCUGAAUUUUGGUUUUUUUUAGGUUUUUUUUGUUUGUUGUAGGUUUCUUUGUUCACAUAUCUCUCUAAAAAUAGUAUUUUUCUUAAUGAAUUCUGAAAAUAGUUUUUAAUUUGAAGGAAAUAUACGGAAUUAGUAAAAAAGUAUACCACUUUCAUUAAUCUGAAGGAAAUAUUGCUUUAUAUAUAUUUGUUUAAAAAUAGGGCUUAUAAUUGAUCUCAAAAAAAAAAAAAAAACAAAUAGCCCACCCCUGUAAAUAUUCCUUAGUCCGCCAUUGCAUGGCAUAAUAUUUGGUAUGCUAUGCUAGCAUCUCAUAAGCUCUUCAAGAGACCUGAAUUUUAUGAUAACUUCUUAAAAAAUUUGAAUACAUUUCAACGAUAUUAAACUUGAAUUUGAACUCAUAAUUCAAUCAAAGUACUCAUUGAGGCAAUUUAGAUCAUUUUCAUUUUAAAAAAAUUGGGUGCACACAUUGAGCUUCAUGCUCUUUACCUUCUUAGAGAUUUUAUUUGAGGAAUUUAUAUUGCAUCACAUAUUACAUCUCUUAGGAUUUGUUCUUAUUAUGUAUUCUUUAAGAGAUCUAUUCUUGCAAUAUGCUUCAAACACUUCAUAAUCUUUAUGAAUUUUUCAUGUAGAUUUAAGGUCUCCAUGAAUAUUGAGAUUGAAACAAGGAGUAAAAGAGUUAAAAGUUUAAGAAAUUUUUUCCCUGAUUAUUUUGUAAUUAUAAUGUUGGUGAAAAUCCAAUUUCCUUUCUAGAAUUUGUGAAAUUUGUUAUUUGGCUAAGCUAAAAGUAUAAUUUUGACAAUAAAAAGCAUAUGAAAGUUUCUCUUUGGUUGGCUUCUUGGCUAGCUCUAGGAACGGACAGUGUGGCCAUGAGAUAACCAUGGAAGUAUAAUAAGAAUGCUUGGAUGCUGUGAACAAUCCAUUUUCUGACUCUUUUUCUUGAGGUGGUUGUUUUCUUAUGGCCCAUCAGAGUUUAUGGUCGACAGAUAAGCUUCAAACACAUGCAUUGGUCGUGUCAGUUGCGAUAAACUCUUCCCAACAAUCAACAAUUUCUAAGGUAAUAUCAUCAUUCAAUCAUGUGCUGAAUUUAGAAUUGUUUUCAAAUCAAGGAUUUGUUUUGGAACUCAGAUUUUAAAACAAUUAAAAUUUAAUUGGGAAGACUUUUUGUUUAAAGGAAGUUCGUUUCAAUUCAAAAAAUAAUUUUUCAGUUUUUCAACUCAAAAGUCUUCUCAGUUUUCUUAUUUUUCUUAUUGGCGAGUUUCUUGGUUAACUCUAGGAAGGGAGAUAUGUGGCCAUGAGCUAACCAUGGAAGCAUAAGAACGCUGACCAUGCUUGGAUUUUGAGAAGACUUCCUCUUUUUUUUUUCCCUGACUCUUCUUCUUGAGGCGGUGGUUGGCUUAUGGCCUCAUAAUAGUUUGGUGUUUUUGGAGAUCAUAUGGUGAUGAUCUGAUGGAGAUGAGUCAUAGUUUGUGCUAGUGCAUACGUAAUUCCAAUUUCCUGAUUCAGAUGGGAUAAACUCUUCCAACAAAUUAAGACUCUUAUCAUGCAUACACAUAAGAAGUGGAAAUUUGCUUCUGUCUUAGUUUGGCCUUGAUAUAGGACAGCUCAUAGGAAAGCAUCCAAAACAAUAUUCUUUUUAUUUUUUUUAUUUGAAUACAAGCGAUAUUAGGAGUGUGGGGAUUUGAACACAUGAUUUAGGGUACAGGGUAAUGCUCUUAACUAUAUGAGUUACAAGUCCCUUGCAAACAGUCUGAAAUACUAAAAAUAAAAAAUAGAUGCUCAUCCAUAUGCACUGUCAUGCCCCAACCCUUGGAUUUACAAAACCUUGUGUUAAGACGUGAUUCACACCUUAAUUAUAGAAUUUAAUAAAAACUAUAACUAAAAUGUGAAGAAAACAUUUAAAUAAAUAAAAUAAAUAUUUCACAUAGAAUAUUCAGUGGAAAUGACAACAUGUGAAAUCUUAAAAAUUUUACAUUAUCUUACAAGUUGGCGUGACUUGUGGAUAUUGACUUACUUUCCUUACACACCAAGAAUUCCUAUUAUAAUUGUAAUUGAUUUACUUUAAUUCAUGAUUUCCUACUGUAAAUAGAUUUAAGAAUUUAUUAUUUACUUGCCCAUUCAGGUUUCGUUGUAUUAUAAAUAUGACCUCCUACAAGGAGAAGAACAUACAGAAAAUUCCCACAAACAAAUAUUCUCUCAUAGUUUUCAUAUUUUAGCAUGGUAUCAGAGCGGCAAUCUUGGAAUUGCUGACUCUAGUUUCAAACCCCCGCCGCCGCUAUGGGGGUUGAUGAUUUUUUCAACCAUCAUGGAGGUAGCACCAUCGACUCCUUCUCUCAUUCUCAACUAACCAUCGUUGAGUUGAGUGCCCAGAUGGCUCCGCUCCUACAGAUGCAGACUUUGACCCCAAACCCGAUCCAGAAUCAGGAUCUUCUUUCGACAACCACGACCCCGAUCUCGACUAUGACAACGACGACCCCGACCCCUACUCUGAAGAUGACCCCGACCCCCACUCCGAUGACCCCAACCCCGAAUUUGUCUCUGAUUCAGAACCCGAUCCCGAUUUCGACUCCGACUCCGGCCUCGACUCAGGCUCAGAUUUCGAUCCAAAUUCCUACUCAACUUAUAUCCUAUGCAUCUUCCGCUGCACAGAUUAUGACUUCUAGACUAACGACCCCGACAUAUGGACCAGAUUGCACAUAUUGUGGUGAUCCGAGACACACUUGUGAGACUUGUUUUAAAUCGCAUGGCUACCCCGAUUGGUGGGCUAUUCUUACAGAUCAAGGACAAUGCACCAGUAAUGGUACUGGUUAUGGAUUCCAUACUUCCGAUAAGAUUGAUUCCAGGAGCUGGAUAAUUGAUUCUGGUGCAACUGAUCAUAUGACGUUUGAUCCUGAUGAUUUUCUGAAUACUACACAACCUCGACGAACUUGUAUUGCAAAUGCCAAUGGUGUUACUUAUCCUGUGACAGGGGCUGGCACUGUUGCACUCUCAUCCUCUCUCACACUGUCUAAUACUUUACUUGUUCCAUUUUUAUCCACUAAAUUGUUGUUAGUUAGUCAGCUUACUAAACAAUUGAAGUGUUGUGUACUCAUUUACCUGAGUUUUUGUUUGCUUCAGGAUAUUCACACUAAGGAGAUUCUUGGUCGUGGUACUAAGAGAGGGGGGCUAUAUUAUGUCGAUGACUUCAGUUCCGGCGUGCCUAACAGUGUGACACAUCCCUUUGAUAGCAAACAAAAGCAAAUUUGGUUGUGGCACCUUCGAUUGGGACAUCCGUCUUUCAGUUAUAUGAAGCAUCUUAUACCAGAUUUAUUCUUAGGUUUCAAGGACUCCGACUUCACAUGUGAUACUUGUAUUUUGGCUAACAGUCACCGUGUGCCCUACCUGUUGAGUACGAACAAGUGUACUUGUAAGAUCCCACAUCAACCAACGGAGAGGGGGUGAUGUGCCUUAUAUAUGCACACCUGCAUCCAUCUAGCACGAGGCCUUUUGGGAGCUCACUGGCUUCGGAGUCGUAGGAACUCCGAAGUUAAGCGAGUUGGGGGCUAGAGCAAUCCCAGGAUGGGUGAUCCACUGGGAAGUUGCUCGUGAGCUCCUAGAAACAAAACCGUGAGGGCAGAGAGAGGGGCCCAAAGCGGACAAUAUCGUGCUACGGCGGAGUUGAUCCCGAGAUGUGACAAUUUGGUAUCAGAGCCACUCUGCCGUGUGGUGCGAAUGUGCCGACGAGGACUUCGGGCCCUUAAGGGGGGUGGAUUGUAAGAUCCCACAUCAACCAACGGAGAGGGGGUGAUGUGCCUUAUAUAUGCACACCUGCAUCCAUCUAGCAUGAGACCUUUUGGGAGCUCACUGGCUUCGGAGUUGUAGGAACUCCGACGUUAAGCGAGUUGGGGGCUAGAGCAAUCCCAGGAUGGGUGACCCACUGGGAAGUUGCUCGUGAGUUCCCAGAAACAAAACCGUGAGGGCCAGAGAGGGGGGCCCAAAGCUGAUAAUAUCGUGCUACGGCGGAGCCGAUCCCGGGAUGUGACAAUUGUACUACUCCAUUUACGUUAAUUCACUCUGAUGUCUUGGGACCUUCGCCUAUCACUGCUCCUUCUGGUGUUCGAUGGUUUGUCACAUUCAUCGAUGAUUGUAUACAGAUGACAUGGCUUUAUUUGCUGAAGAAUAAAAACGAAGUGUUUUCCCGUUUUCAGUCCUUCCACAAACAGAUGAAAACUCAGUUUAAUGCUCAAAUCCAGAUUCUUCGCUCAGACAAUGGUGGAGAAUUUGUCAAUCAUGACUUUCAGACUUACUUCCAACAACAUGGAAUUAUCCAUGAGACGACUUGUCCUCAGACACCACAACAAAAUUGUGUUGUUGAACGAAAGAAUUGACAUCUUCUUGAAACCGCCCAAGCACUUCUGAUUGGCGCUCAUGUUCCUCGCUAUCACUGGGAUGAUGCUAUUGUCACCGCAGUUCACCUGAUCAACCGCAUGCCUUCUGGUGUAUUGACCUUUAAAACUCCCUUACAGGUGCUUGCGCAACACAGACCUCUGCUCUCUGUUUUGGUACUCACACCCCGAAUCUUUGGAUGUGUGGCUUUCGUUCAUCUCCACAAAAAUCAACGUAGCAAACUUGAUCCCUGUGCGCUUCGUUGUGUUUUUAUAGGUUAUGCCACUCAUCAGAAAGGCUACCGUUGUUAUCACCCUCCUACCCAACGAACCUAUGUCACUUUGGAUGUGACCUUUCUGGAAUCUGAGUUGUUCUUCCAUGACCCAUCAUCCAAUUCUACGCAUCAGGGGGGGAUACGAAGUGAAGAGCAGAAUUGAAGCAACUUGGGAAAUAAAGAAAUUUUCCUCUGUACAGAAAUGAUUAAUCAUCCUGAGUCUGGAGCACGAGAUUACUCUCUGUCGAAAAGCAACCAAUCGCCCAUUCAUAGCGAUCAAUUGCCUCACCUACCUGAUCCAUGUGAAGAUAUUUUUGAUCCGAGUCUCACACCUACAGACAAUACAGAACAACAAGAUGAAGACUCCCCCUCUAACUCAACAGUACCAACAGACCAAUCUCCUGAGAAUAUCCUUGAGGUAACUACUCCUACUAGAUUUGUGCAUUUAAAUGAUUAAACUAUUGGAUAUCAAUUACCUUUCAGGGAAAAUCGUGGGAAGCCAUCAAACCGUUAUGCACCUGAUAUUGGCAAGACAUCCAAGUAUCCAAUUGCAAAUCAUGUAUCCACUGAGAAGCUGUCUGAACAACUCAAGGCUUUUGUGCAUCAGUUGUCUGCGAUCCAUAUUCCAACCAAGGUCUCUGAAGCAUUAAAAUAUCCUAAGUGGGUCCAAGCUAUAAAAGAGGAGAUGAAAGCUCUUGAGAAAAAUCAGACUUGGACAUUAGAGACUAUACCUCGAGGAAAAAAGACUAUCAGAUGUAGAUGGGUGUUUACUAUAAAACACAAUGUAGAUGGAUCUAUCGAGCAAUACAAGGCAAGACUUGUGGAAAAAGGGUACACACAGACAUAUGGUAUAGACUAUGAAGAAACCUUUGCUCCAGUUGCAAAGUCAAACACCAUCAGAGUCUUAUUGUCCCUUGCAGCUAAUUUGGAUUGGCCACUACACCAGUUUGAUGUAAAGAAUGCUUUUCUACAUGGCGUACUCACGGAGGAGGUGUACAUUUACAUUCCUCCUGGAUAUAAUACUACUUAGACUGGAACAGUUUGCAGGUUACGAAAAGCAUUGUAUGGAUUGAAACAGUCACCACGUGCAUGGUUUGGACAGUUCACCAUGGCAAUGAAGAACAAUGGUUCAAACAGUGCAACUCAGAUCAUACUCUACUCUUGAAACAUCGAAAAGGGAAGGUAACAACAUUAAUAAUCUAUGUUGAUGAUAUGAUUAUUACUGGGAAUGAUAAACAGGAAAUAUCACAGCUACAAGACUAUCUGGCUACGGAGUUUGAGAUGAUGGAUCUAGGUGGACUCAAGUAUUUCUUGGGAAUUGAGGUGGCUCGAUCCCAGCAAGGCAUAUUUCUCUCUCAAAGGAAAUAUGUCUUGGACUUGUUGACAGACACAUGAAUGCUAGAUUGUAAACCUGCGAACACUCAUAUUGUUCAGAAUCAUCAUCUUGGAGAAUAUCAUGAUCAAGUUCCAACUAACAAAGAAAGAUACCAAAGGUUAGUAGGAAGAUUGAUCUAUUUGUCACAUACUUGACCAAACAUUACUUAUGCAAUGAGCGUUGUCAGUCAAUUUAUGCACUCUCCAAGUGAAGACCACACGAAUGCAGUUCUUCGGAUACUUAGAUAUUUGAAGUCUGCACCUGAAAAAGGACUUAUUUUCUGAAAGCAUGGUCAUAUAAAUAUUGAUGGUUAUUCAGAUGUAAUGUAACAGAUAGAAAAUCCACAUCCGGUUACUUAACAUUCAUGGGAGGUAAUUUGGUGACAUGGAGGAGCAAGAAACAGAAUGUAGUAGCUUUAUCCAGUGCAGAAGCCGAGUUCAGAGGCAUGACUAAAGGAAUUUGUGAACUUCUUUGGUUAAGAAAGUUGCUUACUGAACUUGGGUAUAAACCUACAUCCACAAUGAUUCUCUUUUGUGACAACAAGGCUGUUAUAGCCAUUGCACAGAAUCCGGUUCAGCAUGAUCGUACUAAACAUGUUGAGGAGGAUCGACACUUCAUCAAACAGAAGCUUGAGGCUAAAAUGUUUCAGUUUUCUUUUGUGAAAUCCGAGGAUCAAUUGGCGGAUAUUUUGACAAAGGUGAUUUCCAGUAAAACAUUCCACAAUUCACUGGAUCAGUUAGGCAUUGGCGAUAUCUAUGCACCAACGUGAGGGGAAGUGUUGGCGUGACUUGUGGAUAUUGACUUACUUUCCUUACACACCAAGAAUUCCUAUUAUAAUUGUAAUUGAUUUACUUUAAUUCCUGAUUUCCUAUUGUAAAUAGAUUUAGGAAUUUAUUAUUUACUUGCCCAUUCAGGUUUCGUUGUAUUAUAAAUAUGACCUCCUACAAGGAGAAUAACAUACAGAAAAUUCCCACAAACAAAUAUUCUCUUAUAGUUUUCAUAUUUUAGCAAGAACUACUCGAGAGUUUACUAAAAGAGUAGUUCAGUAUUCAUCCACAAGCUAUAUACACAAUACACUCUAUAGAUAUGCCAAAAUCAUCGCAAGCUCUAGAUUUUAGGUUCGAUACCUGCAAAAUCUAUUAGAAGGGUGAGUGAAACCACAGUUUAGUAGGGACAUAAACCUUUUCACGGUAAACUGAUAUAAUUAAAUUAAGUGAAAAAUAAUCACACAGCCAAAUAUCACAUUAUUAAUAACAAUGCAUGAAUGCUCUUCAUUUAACCCGUUAAUUCAUAUAAUUAGACAAGCUUCACGACCCAUACCAUGCUUAUACCACUUAGUCCCGAAUGCCAAUUUAUAUGAAUUAACGCCCAUUUCAAUCAUCCCAUAAUUCCCAUUUUGUUAGUCAUCUUGUCUAACUCCCUGUUGCCAGUCCUGAAUCACCAAAAAAAAAAAACCAUGUGCACUAUGGGAUCCCUGAGUACUAGUACCUGGCAAGAGUUAGACUCAACUACACAAAAGAUCAUUUCUAUUACCCUCUUAUCCACCAUUAUUUUCUCAACUUCAGAAUUCUAGCCAAAUUCCAUGACAUGAUAUAAUUAAAAUUAUGCCUUCACAACAAUGUGCCCAUUUAAAACAUCACUAAUGCACAUAUAAUUAUGCCCACAUUGUUCAAAUAGUUAAGAGUACGUAAAUACCCAAUACAUGGAACGUCAAUCAAACAGUACCACGCAUAAUAUAAUGCUCAAGAAAUUUAAUUAAAUCAAUCUCUGUAAAAGGCCCCUAAGAAACCCCUGCCUUGAUACUAAAGCUUUUGCUAGACCUAUAAGGUGUUUUCCAAUUUUCCACCGCAUUCACAAACUCUGUCUUCUACUUUUUUUCUUACUUCUCUCUACCACUAUUUCUUUCUCGUUUUCUUUGUUUUCACUUGUUGUGCAACUUAAUGUCCUAUAUAUAUACAAGGAACAAGUCGGCAGUAAGUGAUUUCCUAUUGGAUGGUGUAUUCGGUUGUUAUAAACUUACUAGUAAUAGUUAUCAAUGUAGUUGCAGAUGAGGAAGAAUGUUUUUGUGACUCUUCCAAUCCCUCUAAUCCUAUUUCUUAUCUUCUUGGUGAGUUGAUAGCCUCGAUACUUAACAGAUUUUAUACUUUGACACGUAUUAACAAGAACUAUUUUAAAAACAUAUACAUAUAUAUAUAUAUAAUAGAAUAUGUAUAUAUGUAAUACACAUAUUUAUAUAUAAUAAGAAUAAUAUAUAUGUAAUAAGAUAUAAAUAUUUAUUAGAACAGUAUAUAAAAUAAUAUAUAUCAUUCUUAUUAUAACAAUAAUUUUAAUUUUCCCAAAAUAAUAUAUAUUUAAAAAUAUGUGGUUUCACAUGCAUGUCCUUUUUGCUAUAGACACUAUUACAAAAAUCGAAAUAGACAACGGAAAACUACCGUCGUCUGGAAAGUUUUCAAACAGUCGUGAAAUCGACUGUCGUCUCUUUUACAUAAAACAACGACGGCUAUUAACCAACGUCGUUAAUACAUUCCACGUAAAAAACUAUUAUAAACCGACGUGUAAUUACUAUAUAUAUAGCCUAAAAUAAAAUCUUCAACAACCUUAGACGACGGUUUUAUUAAAACUGACACGUCUAAAGAGUGUUACAUGUCAAGAUCAAAACAAGAACCGACGUACAGAUAAUUAUCCACGUCCUAAUUGAAGUAAAAUAGACUUGGAUAACCUAGAAACCGUCGUGGUUAACAUAUACUACGUUAAAUUAACAAAGGCACUUACGUCUAAAAAGUAAAAGACAACACGCGCACAAAGCAACAGACGUUUAAAGCUUAGUACAUGUCAAUAGCCGCUCAAUAACCGCAGUAAAAUGAAUUAACCACGUCCCACAUAUGGCAGAACUGUUGCUUAUGUGAUUAUCCACGUCGCGGAGUAGUAGAACAAAGACGUUGUAACCAUAUUCCACGUCUGUUUCUUGUGAGAAUUGUCGUUUAAAUUAUACAAAGAAGCCCCUUUGACAGAGUUAGACGUUGCUCUUGCUGUAGAACCGACUUCUAACAGGUUUAAAAUGACACAAUAUUACUUAAUACUGCCGUAACAAAUCAUAUCCACGACUGCUGUUGUCAAAGACUGACGUUACAAAAAAUAUUGAAGGUGUUGACAAAAAAGAACCGACAUGGAUUAUGCAUUCAACGUCGUGUGGUCUAAAAAUAAAGGACGUGGUUAAUUUUUUCUCUACGUCAAGUGGAUCCAAUUGCCUGAUGUUGUAAUUCUUUACCAUGUUGGUUUUUAAUACAUGAUGAUGUGGUUGUCCUUUUAAAAGUCGCUUGUUUUACCCUCCUUGACGUGUGUAUGAUAUGAGACGUCAAUUGUUUUAGACUAGCUGACGUGCAGAAAAUCUGUCACGACAAUUAAUGCAACUGAAUUGCCUCUAUUUCCCCCAGACGACGGUAGGUUUUAAGUGUGGAAGUAGUGUUUUACAAAAUCGUAAGUUGGAGUAAUCUACCAUCGUGUUAUUCGAGAAUAUACCACGAUCUUUGUUUUGUACUCGGUCGCUGAUGUUUAUACUACUUAAUAAACUGACAUGUUUUCAGUUUCAGACGGCGGCUUUUGUUUCUUUAUGGUCUUUUGCAUUUUUUUUCCAUGACAUUUUUGAAAGCCUAAUGUUGGUUUUAUUUUAGAAAUCGAUUUUUCCCCUUUUUUUACUGGACCGUCGUACUUUACACAUUUAAUCAAUUUUUUUCAAUUUUUGAUUCAUCGUGCCCAAAGCCUACAUAACGAAAAUGUGAUCAGAAUUAAAAUGAUGUACAAAGGUAUUAAUUAAUGUCAUACAAUUAACUGAAUAACUAAUGUCAUACACUACAACAAUCAAUCAAUCCAUAUAUCUUCACACCCAUCUUUAAUAUUUUCACUCCCAAACUCACCCACUAGGUCAUCAUAUGUGUCAACAUUUGGUAUCCCUCUAGUAAAUGUCUCACACUCAAUUCUAAUAUCACCUAGCACAUCAUCACCAAUAACAUUAUUAUAUUCUCUAUUAUGCAUUGAUAACACUACCGACCAACCACGAUGCAUUGGGUCGUCAGCAUAAAAUACUUGUUUUGGUCAUUCCUAUGUCCAAUUUUACUCAAAUCUACAAAGGUGAAUCCAAGUUCAUCGACAACAAGGCCCAAAGUGUUAUCUAUCCAAUCACACCUCAAGACAAGGAUUCUAAACUUUUGGUAGUCAAGGUCCCAAAUUUCUUGAAUAACACCAUAAAAACCCAUAUUGGAGACAAUAGAGUUUUUAUCCUUAGCACUAGCAACUUGCAUAGUAUGUGCAAGUAAAUAAACUCCACUAUUUUGGACAGUUCGCAUAUCAUCUUGUGCCUUGGUGUUAAAUUUAACACCAUUAAUAAGAUAGCUCCUAUAUGAUGGCAUUGCCAUGCUUGGACUAGCUGCUAGCCACCUCAAAUUUUAUGAUACGCCAUUAUGCUCUUCCCCAUUAAGUUCACUUUGAACUUGCAAAUUAAUCGUAUAUAUCCUAAUUCGAUCUAACAUAUAAAAAGGAAGAAAAUUAAAAGUUGAAUAUGUCAUUCAAUAACAUAUAUACUUGAAAGUGUAGCCAUUGAAUGAAAGUGCUAUUGUGCUUAUCUUGCAGCCACUUUGUUCUCUUUCUAAAUAUUGGAUAAGUGGUCUUGAUGUGGAUCAUAUGUUCCAUACAUUGACACGAAAAAAUCAAGCAUUACGGUCCCUUGUAUAUAAGAUAACAUAAGGAAUAAUAAUAUUUAAAAUGGCUCUAUAUGAAAAAUGGAACUCAUGCGUACUCGAUAUAAGGUAGGACUUCCUCAGUAUUCUCCAAGACAUAUAGAUGUGUCUGGUUCAAAAAACCCGAUCACCUAAGCUUACUGUGCAACCAGAUAAUGGCUUUGAAACUCCCAUCUUCUAGCUUGAAGGCACUCCAACUGUACUAACAUCAGAUAAAUGCUCGGUGCAAAACUCUACAACUUCUUCAGCUAUAUACCGCUCAAUAAUGCAACAUCCGGGACGAGUACGGUUCUGAACAAACCUAUUUAGCACUUUCAUAUGUCUUUCAAAUGGAUACAUCCAUCUAAAAUAUACUGGCCCAUGUAGACGAACUUCUCUGACAAGAUGUACUACUAGAUGAACCAUGAUAUCAAAGAAUGAAGGGGGAAAGUACUUCUCAAGCAAACGCAACGUAACUACUACAUCUUCUUCCAAAUUAUCUAGCUUGGAAACAUCUACUGUCUUUGCACAUAUAGCAUUGAAGAAGAAGCACAAUCGAGUUAUUGCAUACCUUGCAGGCUUCUCCAAACAGAACGAAUUGCCACAGGGAGCAAUUGUUGCAUCAAGGCAUGAAAAUUAUGAGAUUUAAGGCCAAGAAGUCUUGAAUAUUUUUAAGAUACAAGAUUUUUUUAUAUUUGAACAAUAACCUUCAGGGACUUUCAUACCAUAGAAAGAAUUGCAAACCGCUCUCUUAUCUGCUCUUGACAAAUUCUAGGGCCUUGGAGGCAAGCGAGUACGUCUUUCUCAAUACUCGGGUUGCAAAUCAUUUUUGACCCCCAUGUUCAAUAAAUCUAACCGAACAGCAAUCUCAUCUUUAUUUUUUCUAGGGAUCUCCAGCAAUGUACCAAUGAUACUAUCGCAAACAUUCUUCUCAAUAUGCAUAACAUCUUGGACAUGCCUCAUAGGAAGGUAUUUCAAAUACUCGAGAUCAAAGAAUUUUGAUUUCUUAUUCCAACAAACUCUGUCACCAUCAUUCUCAAAAACACUUCCCCCAUUUUUCGAGCCCCAUAUGUAAUUAAUAUCUUCAACCAUGUCCUAUUCAAGUUAAUGGUUCGGGAGGCGUGCCAUAUUCAAGUUUUCCAUUGAAAGCUGCACGCUACCUCCGACAUGGAUGAUUGAUUGGUAACCAUUUUUUAUGACCAAUGUAACAAAUUUUGGGGCCAUUUUCAACCUGUGACUAGGUGUAUCAUCGCCGCAUAUUGGACAAGCUUUAUAUCCUUUAACGACACUGUAACACCCCGACUCUAAAUUAAUCCCUUAUUUAAUUAUUUAAAGAAAAUUACAAAUUUACCCUUAAGAUAGGGGUAUUUUGGUCAUUUUCUUACCCGAAGAGAGUUUGGGGCAGUGACUAGUAUUUUUGGAUAGGUCGUACUGAGACGAGUUCAUAGACACGUAGUGGGCUCGAAUCGAAGUUGUAACGAGAGAGAUAUGGUCAAAAGAAACCCAAUUGCACAAUCAUAAUUAUUUCGAAAUGAGAUUUUUAUAAAAAUCAGAUUUUUUUUUCUCUCUCUCUCUCUCUCCUCGUCGGUCUCUCUCCCUCUCCUCGAAACUCCGGCCAUCGGCCACGGCUGUGGACGGGGCCGGUACCAAAAUGACCGAGGCGUUGUCCUCCUCUAAUCCCAGCUAGGUCCCGCCGUCAGCCGCCAUGGUUUCGCCGGAAAAUGGAGAAGAAGCGGCCGGCGUCGUCCGAAGUUCUCCGCCGUUGAUCUCCCUCUUCCGGUCACCGAUUCCGACGAGUGAGGUAUGGUUUCUCACCUACUUUUCAUGCUCUAGCUGCCUGCUGGGUAUGAUUGGAUUGAUUUUUAGCGUAGGCAAUUCGAUUUUCGCAUUGAAAUUCGGCUAAUUUUGGAAUCACGAUUCCGGCUAGUUCUGGUCAGUUUUUGGGGUAGAUCCAAGAACAAAAGUGGCUCCAAAUAGGGUGUUAUACCUAGGGUAGGAGUUUGGAGCCAUGGUUUUGAGAUUUUCCGGCGAUACGUAAUCGCUUUAGACACCCAACGCUGCCCGCACGUGUGGCAGUGCGUGGGCGAGGGUAGUGAAAUAGCACUAUGUCUCGAUGAGAUCCUUAGGUUGUCACGAGUGCGUAGGAUUUCGCGGAUCUCAAUUCGGACGUCGUUUGACUAUCGAACGGAUUUUCGUAUAUUGCGCGUCAUCCGGGUUCGAUAGGUUGGGACCGUUGGAUGGUCUCGAAUAAAAUAUAUGUUAAUCUAGGUAUUUCUAGGAUCAUGUAGGAAUUCACGGAUUAUAAAUCGGAGCCCCGGAUAUUCCGAAUAAAUAAUUUAAAGUUUAUGUUUUAUAAUAACCGUCACAUCGUGCGAUCGUGAGCGAUCCGACCGGCCGAUCUGGACCAAACUUACAGAACGAGUGUCCUAUACCUUGAAGAACCCAUAGGAAUUUUCAGAUCGAAAUUUGGAGGUCGUGGGCCCCGUGGGCCCAUUUGACUAGGGGUAGGGUAGUUUGACCCUUAGUUGACCGUGAGUCUCCCGGAGUAAUCUCACCUUUCCAGGGGGAUUAUCGGGUGCUAGACUGUUGUUGAGGUUUACACGAUAUUAGUAGUAAAUUAUAUAUUUAUAUACAUUUGUAAAGGUAAAAAAUAAGUCCAGAAUGUCAGUUUGAAGUGCUUUACGCACUACCUUAGGUACCUCCCCGGAUUUUAGUUACACUACAAGUACCACCCUAUGAAAGUUAGGUCCCACGUGGCGUAGGUUAUCCGGCGUGCGGACAGGCCCUAUACGUGGCAUUGGUAGUAUCGGUGUAUGGGGAGAUUACGUGAUAAUAUGUUGAGGUCACACGUGGCGUAGGUUAUCCGGCGUGUUGACAGACCCCAUACGUGGCGUUGGUUGUACCGGCGUAUGAGGAGAUAUUGUGAUAUGAUAUUCAGGUCUCGCGUGGCGUAGGUUAUCCAGCGUUGAGACAGACCCCAUACGUGGCGUUGGUUCUACCGGCGUAUAAGGAGUUUAUGUGAUAUUAUGUUGAAGUCGCGCGUGGCGUAGGUUAUCCGGUGUGUCGACAGACCCCAUACGUGGUGUUGGUUGUACCGGCGUAUGGGGAGAUAUGUGAUAUGAUGUGCAGGUCUCGCGUGGCGUAGGUUAUCCGGCGUUGAGACAGACCCCAUAUGUGGCGUUAGUUGUACCGGCGUAUGGGAAGAUAUUGUGAUAUGAUAUUCAGGUCUCGGGUGGCGUAGGUUAUCCGGCGUGUUGACAGGCCCCAUACGUGGCGUUGGUAGUACCGGUAUAUGGGGAGAUUAUGUGAAAUACAGAGAAAUGAAAUAAGGUAUUGCCUAUGUGUGGAAUUGGGUUUUAAGGAAGAACUACGUGUGGCUUGAUCCCUCAGGGAGGGUACGUAGGCAGCCUAAGGUUAUUAGGUGUAGCCGCGGACAUAGACGUGAUUGUGUUAGGAGGUUAAAACCUCGUAUGUUGAAAUUGAGAAAAUUAGAUGAUGUAUGUUGAAAUUUAGUAGUCGUAAUUUAUAUUUAAAUUUAUCGUUUGCCUUGUUUAAGGCAUGAAUUGAUUUGCUAGCAUGCUUGGUAGUUGAGAAUUAUAGAAAGGCCGAAGGCCGUUUAUGUGAAUUGCAUGGAAUUAUAUUGUGCAUGCUGCCAGUUGUAGUUAUUAAAUGUGUUUUUAUGCAGGUUGAAAUUUUGGGAAAUGUCCAAUUUACAGGGGAGACUCUGCCGAAAUUUCGGCAGAAAGUCUCGGUCUUUAGUAAGUGGGCCUGACAUCGAGGUGAUGUCGGGGAAUCCACAGGAUCCGCCUCGAUUUUUGGAAAAAUCGGGGCGGUUCCUUUCAGACACAACCAGAUAAGUUCUCAUAGGCAGAAAAAUCAUUAAUUGUUCACAGUAAUACACCUAUGAGUGUAAAGUAAUCUCCUAUGUGUGCAUCAUACACUCCUUUAAUCCCAUCCCACAAAGAUUUUAAAUCAUCAAUCAGAGGCUCUAAGUAGACAUCUAUAUCAUUUCCAUUCUAUUUAGGACCAGAAAUCAAUAAGGUCAAUAUCAUGAACUUCCAUUUCAUGCAUAGCCAUGGUGGGAGAUUAUAUGUAACUAAGAUAACCAACAAUUGUAUCUGCUACUUAAAGAACUGUGGGGAUUGAAUCCAUCAGAUGAGAGAGCCAAUCUCAAGUUUCUUGGCUCUUUACUGAACUCGGGCCAUUUAUCAUCAACAAGUUUUUAAGACGGGAAAUUCGCUGGAUGAGACAUAUGACCGUCAAUUGCUUUUCUAGCAACAUGCCAAGUCAAACUCUUAGCUGUCAUAUGUGAUUGAAACAUCCUUUUAAACCUUGGAAUUGGAGGAAAAUACCACACCACCUUCGCUGGCACACUCUUUUUCAAGAUUGAAUCUUUGCAUUCCUUCCACCUUGAGAUACCACAAGUAGGACAAUUAGUUGAAUCUUCAUAAUCAUUCCUAUACAAGAUGCAGUCAUUGGGACAUGCAUGGAUAUUCUCAUAACUCAUCCCUAAAGGAGAUAAUGUCUUUUUUGCCUCGUACAUAGAGGAAUAUAGUGUCUUUCCUUCUGGAAGCAAAUCUCCUUGAAGUAUCAAUAAUUCUAUAAAACAAACAUCACUCAUCCCAUGUUUUGCUUUCAAAUUAUAUAACUUCACCAAAGCCGACAACAUCGUGUACUUACUGCAACCAGGGUACAAGGAUUGAUCUCAAUCCCCAAUCACAUUGGCAAACUCAUAAGGAUCAAAUCCAAUAUCGCCUAAAUCAUUAUCAUCCAUCCCUACUUCUUUAGAAACAAAACUGAACCUACUUUGCUCAUCUUCUUCCACAUUUCUACUAGCAUUAGUAGUCAAUUCCCAAGGUUCUCCGUGCCAUGUGCAAAUCUGAUAGCUUUAGUCAAUUCCAUUAAAGUAUAAGUGGUCCCUCAUAAUUCCAACCCCAAACAAUCGAAUAUUCCCACAUUUAACACAUGGACAACGAAUAUGAGUUGUAUUUCCAAGAUUUUCUACAGCAAAAUUCAAAAAUCCUUCCACCCCUAACUCAUAUGCCUUCGGUCUUCUAUCCGCAUGCAUCCAUGACUUAUCCAUCUCACACACUAUAAAAUCAUAUAUAUAAUAAAGUGAAAAGACCAGCAAUGAAACACUACUUUAUUCACAUAGCAAAGAAUGAAUUGAAAAAAAAAAUUAACCAAGAAUCAGACGACGGUUUUUACAAAAAAAAUCGUCCUGUAACAGAGGGUCAGACGACGGCAUAUCUAGUUAUCGACGUCUUUAAGCUACCCAAACCCAGAUAUUUGUAUUGCUUUUUGAAGAACCGGGUUCUGGGUUCUGGUAAACAAAAGAUGACGGUAAAUGGAGAAACACCGACGUAUCCUAAAACUUGAGACGACGGUUUAUUUCACCAACCGUCGUCGUAGUUUACGAAAAACAGAAGUCUAAAUCUCCCAUCCUCAUUCCUUUUCUAAGAACCCUUAACAAAAUGCAAACAUCAAAAUAUAAAAGAGCCAUAUAUAGCUCCCAAUUAAGAAACCAAAGCUACCAAAACAUAUAUUAAUAAACCAAAGCUACCAAAAUGAACGAAAACAUUUAUGGGUUUUACAAACUAAGAGAAUAUUGAGAGAGAGCUGAGAGAAUAUACUUACAUGGAUAUUGAGAGAGAGCUGAGAGAAUAUAACAAAUGCUUGAGAGAGAGCUUAGAGAAUAUACACAAUGCUUUGAGAGAGAGCGAAAAAUUUAAGACAAAUUUAUGUUGAAGAGAGAGAAGGAAAUAUUUUAGGGUUAAAGGGAAAUUCUGAAAAUUUUAGAUCACCGUCAAAAUUUUCAAAGGACCGCGUUUUUCAAAGACGGCUAAGGAAAACUACCGCCAUUGUAAAUCAUUUUACUACGACGGUUGAGGAAAACUACCGCCAUUGUAAAUCAUUUUUAUGUCGCCUCUAUAAAAACCGACGUCUAAAAUAUUAAAUAAUUAGAUUUGGUUUGCAUUUCGUGGGAUUCUAACGUGCGUAAUUGACCAAAAAGAGCGAGAGAAAACCAGCGUCGUUUCUAUAAAACCUAAACCCUAAACCCUAAACCCUAAACUCUAAAACCUAAACACUGAAAAAAUUAACCAAAAAUUGCUAUGGACUCCUUACAACAAUGCCUUCUAUAUUAGUAGGCUAAAAUCGGGAUUAAAUAAUUUUGAAUUUUAUGACCACCAAUGGAUCACAUAAACCUUAGGGUUAUGUUUAUGGAAAGUAUAAGGAUUAUUGUGUUUUGUCUCUAAAUCUUUUUUACUUUUGUUAUCACUUGUAACUUUGAAAUCUAAAAUUAAAAUUUUCAGGCCUUUAGGGGGGAGAUAUUGUCUCAAUGUGUUUAUAGAAUUUGAGACUGCGAAGGUUCUAGCUGAUUGACUAAGGAUGAGGCAGGAUGGAUGGAAGGUUUGCUUGGAGAUUCUACCUUUGUCAGCUCUUCUGGUUGACAUGUUGUUUAUUCUGCCUGAGGAACUACUUCUAGAUUUUUCCCUUUUCUAGCAGAACUAGUCUCUGGAAGUACUUGUGUGUCAUCCUUAUUCUUGAGGAAGACGCAGUAUUGCCUUUGAACUCUCCUCUUUUGCAUUCUGGUUAGCUUCAGAGUUGGUCUUCGGCUUUUUCCAAUAGAAUAUCAUCUACCUUCUAUGAUAGUUGCAAAGGGCUUGUCAUUUCCAGGCAUCUUAACUGGUAUUUCCUUCUUUGGCUGCUCUAUUAUUCUCUUGUUGCGUUGGGCAGGCCUUAAAUAGUCCUUCUGUCUGGCUCUAUCUCUAGGUGGAGCCGGAACUAGGCCUUGUUGGUAUGAUGUUCCAAUCCUGUCAAAAACACAAGGUGUGGGCUGACUUUGCCUAACCAGAGUUACCUCUAACUCACUUUCACAUUUGCACCUGUUGCACAAAACUACCCCAGCCGAAAUGGUUGCUUUUGGUCUUCAAUUAGCCUAUCUUUGGACUCUUCUGCCUAUGCUGGGGCUAACUUUUGCUGUUAGUUUGCCUUUCUUUUGUUUUGGCCAAUUUAAGUUGACCAUGUUGACUUGAGGUUGGGGAAAAGGGUCUGUUGUUAUCGAAUGAGGUUUCUCAGCCAGUUUUAGCCUCCAUGCUGUUAUUCCUUCCUGUAUGACGUCCCUGAAAACAACACAACUAUUGGUGGAAUGGUCCCAGGAGUUAUGCCAUCUGCAAUACUGUCUGCCCUUGAGUUCCUCUAGCUUGGGCAACUUGUAGGGUGUUUCUAUUGCCUUCUGUCGCAGCAUGUCAUCAAACAGGGCAUCAACCUUGGUUAAAUCGAGGGAAUAGACUUUGUUAUGAGCUGGUUUGUUUGGAACAAACCCUCUUGUGAAUGGUGGUGGCUUUUGGUCCUUUGGUGGCUUUGUUAAAGCCUUGCAACUGAUGAGAUGUUUUAAUUUCCCCAUUUCUGCCACUGCAACUUCUCUCUCCUCCGAGCUUUCUAUGCCUUCUUCUGAUUCUACCUCAACAAGAUUUACUGAAGAGGAUGGGGUUUUGUAAUAUGUGCCUUUGAAAGAGUUCCUCUUCUAUUGUUCUUCCCUGAGCAGCUCCUUGUAUUUAGAUGCUUUGUCUGCUAGUUCUGCCAGAUCUCCAAACAGCAUCCCAUCAAAUUUUUUUCUCAGAGAGAUUUUAAGGGAGAUUUGAGCCAUUUGGAUGAAGUGCCCUUCCUCCAUAGGGAUUCAAAAUUUCAUUUUGAGCUUUUUGAACCUGGUUAUGAAGUCUUGGGCAGGCUCAUCUUCCCUCUAUUUCCAGGUUUGAGGGCAGCAAGAUCACUGAUGGUGACUUCUGGCUGAAUCCUAAAAUAGUAGUCAUGGAAGACAUUUUCCAUCUAUUUCCAGGUUUGAACAGAAUUGGCUGGUAAGCUAGUAUAUUAGAUGAAGGCUUGUCCAGAGAGAGAAUUUCGAAAAAGCCUUAGUUUUAACAGAAGGUUAUUUUCUAUGGCUAUGCACUGGAAAGAGAAUCUGCCUAUAUGCUUAACUGAUGAAGCAUGGGUGUCUUCUCCGUUGAACAAGGUGAAGUGUGGUACCUUAAAGCCCAGGGAUAGAGGUAUUUGAUCGAUAUAAGCUGGAUAAGGCUUUCUGUAGGUGGGCCUUUCUCCUCUUCUGGCCUCAGGUUCCAUCAUCUCUCUGAUCAUUCUAUAAAGUGCCCCCAUGUCAUUCAAAGCAUUGACAUGAUGCGGGGUUCGCCCCUGUUCUGGCUAGUUGUGUUCAAUCCUUUGUUCUACUUUAUAUGGCCUGGGCAGAACUUCCUCCCUAUGCUCUUCCUCUUUUUCGAAAUCUGGAUGAUUCCUUUAGUUUGCCCCCGGUCUGUUUUUGUCAUUGUUGGCAAAGGGUUUAACUCCUACUCUACCUCUCAUGCCACUUGCUAGUGGAGGGAAUGGAUUGGGGUCCAUCCUUCUAGGUCUGUAGGGCAACACAACUGGUUGCUCAGGCAGAAGUGCCAAGGCCUGAUCACGUGGGGCCACUAGUUGUGGAAUAGGUGGAGGUUCUGGCUAGUUCUGAGGGGGUCUGAACUGGUGCAGAGCCUUCUGGAUGAACUGAAUCCUCAUGUUCUUGGAUGGGAAGGGCUCCUCCCCUCUGUCCAGCUUGGAUUUCUCCAUGUCCUGGUAUUCCAGCUAUCUGUGUGAUGAGAGGCUUCUCUUCAUAUGGCCAUGCCAGUCCUGGUAGAGGUCCAAAAGGGAGAUCUAGCUGCUGGACCACCAUGUCUAGGUUUGGAAUUUUGGCAAUAGUAGCCUCACGGUCCUUCCUGAACUGCCUGUUGACUUGCCAUUACAUCAUGGUUGUCAUGUUGUUUAGAGUAUCUUGGCUCAUUUGUGCUGUGGCUUCUUGCCGAAACACAGCCUCCUGUAUCUAGUUUAACCUUCUGGAACCAGACAUGGAACGUCUACUCGUGGUACUGCCAUGGGCUGAUUACCUAGCAUCACUUUCUUUUGACUCAAGUCCUUUUCGGAGAGCUGCUUGAUCUCUUUUCAUGGCAUAGCGUGGAUUCUGGCUAGAACUUCCAAUAUUCAUAUACUAGAGGAUUUUUCUAGAAAUAUAUGUAUUGAGAAGUCCCACUGGGCGUGCCAAAUUGUUCAUCCGUUUUAGAUUUGUUCCUGUGAUGGUAGGGUAAAGUUCCUCAUUGACUUGAAAACCAUUGGUGGUCAAUAAGUCAACUUUCUUUUGUGUACAAAUGUGCCACUGCUAGCAAUAAAAACCCUAGCAGACUUCUUAAAAAUAGAAAACUUGUGCCCAAGUUAUUAACUUCUAAAUAAGCGAUUGUGAAUUUGGGCGAGGAAUAUCUCCCAAGUAAGUUCUUUUCUUUGCCUCAGAUUGGUGAGGACUUCACAAUUUUUCACAGUACAAAACUGGUAGUUCUAGCUAGAAUAAAUGAUAAGAAAGUGAACUGUUUUCAGGCAGAACUACCUUUUACAAAGCUUAAAAAGGAAGACCAACUCUAAAAAGACAAAAAGAGCUUUUGGACUUCAAUUUCUGCUUGGAUAAAUGCUUCUGAUCCGGGCUGGACUGGGUAUGUUUGUGCUGGACUGGACUAUCAACACCUUCAACUGUCAAGUUUUAGCUGUCAAUGAAUACCAAUGUUCGAGUGUGGCAAAGCUUCAAUCUAUUUCAAGCCGUGCAAGGCUUUUUGAACGGACAGAAUUGGAACCUCUUCAGUCUGGAAGGGGUAGAAGUGGCUGAAUUUGGUGAUUACUGAGCUGGAACUGCACUGUAGUACCUGUUCUGCUUGAUCAGGGCUCUCCAUAAAUUUGUUGAGGUUUUAAUAUUGGUAAAACCCGAAGCUUAUGUUGAACCAACUUUGUAACGAGAGAAAUCUUGCUUUGAAUGACUAUUUCUCUGAAACUAAACAGAAGUUAGAGAUUCUGGAAUAUAGCUGACUUGUUUCUUAUGGCUCAAUGAGCUUUUGGUUGCUUCAGUGUUUUGAAGGCUUUUGAGAUCAAGUGAUCAUUUUGAGUUUUUAUUUUUGAUUGAUUUUUUGGCUGUCCUUUUAUCUGUUCACCUCAUCUCAUAUUUAUAGAAUAUACUGGAGUGUGAUUUCUAAUCUUUUAAUAAUGGGCGGCAAAUCUUUUAAAAGAUCUUUUUUUCUUUUUUCAAUGUCAUAAGAGAAGGAAGCUACUAUUCUGACAGAGAAAGGUUGUCAACAAUCAUCUUUCAAUUUUUCUAUGUUCACUUUUUGUUCUUUGUAAAGAGAAAGAACACAAUCUACCAUGAUGGUCAGUGUGCUUUUCCUGUUGAACAACUCCCUCGUUCUCUACUUAUCUCUUGAAAACGUAGUCUGCUUAUCUCUUGGAAAGACCACCUGAUUUGGUGCAGAGCUUCUCUAUAUAUAUAUAUAUAUAAAGGGAUUUUGAUCUUCUUCUUUUGGCUGAAAAAAUAGAGAAGUCUUUCUGUAAGACCUGCCUUCAUUAAUUUUCUAUCAACUUCUCUGUAAUAGUUGAAAAUUUUGACUUUUCAAAGCCAGGUAUUCACGUGGGGUUGUUUAGAAAAGAUCUGUUGAUUUUGUCAAUCUUUUAGGGUAGAGAUUAAAUAGCGUAAAAAGGCUGGGCUAGUCUCUUUUUCUUAGUAGAUAAAAAGCCCAAAUAUUUUGUCUCACUGCCCUUUUCUGGAAAAUAAAUGGGCUGGGUGUGUUGGAAAUUGGCCCAAUCUUAAGAAAGACUCUGGUGGCUGCCCAAAAUUGACAUAGGCUUUUCUUGAUUUUGGGCUGGGCAUGCCAAAUUAGGCCCAAACAAUGCCCCUUAAGUCUGAAUUGUUUUUGGAAUAGUUUCAGACUUAAUGAUUUGGCCAUUAAUUUGUGCGCGCCAUUUCCUUCUGUUAGCCCACAUCUGCCACGUCUGCCUAUUAUGAUCAAGACUUCGUGGGAAAGUGGGCAGUUACUAGCUAGUUAUUAUCAGGUGGCGUCUUGUCUUCUUCUUCCCACGAUUUCGAGUCUUUCUAAGAAAUUUAAAAAGACCUCAGCUCCUGUUUACUCAAAACCUAACUUCUUCAGACCUUGAUUUUCCUCAGUUUUCUCAGAAUUUUUACCCUUUUCUGCGAUCAAACCCUGCUUCCUUUCAGUUUGAUUCCCCUAUCCUAGCUCAAAACCCGAAAAUGUCUUCUCCAAAAAAUCGUGCCCAGACUUCUUCUUAUUCUGUUCCUCCUACCUACAUUACUGGGGCCGGUGUUGAUAAGCAUGUGAUUGAAGUCCGGAGCAAGCUUCAUCCUUUUGCCCAGAACGUUCUGGACAAGAACGUGUUACAUUUGUUCGAGAACACUCUUGUUUUGGAGCCUCAUCGGUUUGGUUCUGUCCCGACUGAAAUGGCAGAAUUGUUUAAAGAAUAUACUGAAGCUCCUCUAUGCUUUCAGAGCUCUUUCGUAGAUUUCAGUUUUAUAUAUAAACUAUCGUGUUUCUCCCUAUAACAUGUCGUUUUUAAGAAUUGUUGUCAAUGUUUUAUUUCCUGCUACUAUAAGACGGCGAUUAUUUAUACAUAUGAGACGUGUAAAUUAGAAUGAGACGUCAGUCUUUGGGAUUUAAAUUAAGUUUUUACGAUUUAAUGUCAUUUUAGUUCAUAUAAGGACAUAAAUGUCCUAACCAAAAAUAUAUUUAUGUACAUUGUCAAUAAAUUAAAAUAAACCUAAACAUUGUUAAAAUAAAUUAGAUCACUUAUUAUUCUGUAAUUACUUGUUAACGAAUUCAGCCCAUUCCAACCUGACUUCGUCAAUAUGUUCUUAUACAUACUGAACUGGUUCCUUUUUCUUAUCAAACUGCAAAUAAAUAACAAAAACCAACGUGUUAUAAAGAUUACAACGACUGCUUUUAAAGAAAAAGUUGUGGUACUAAAAUAAAGAAUUUAUAUCUUAAGUUUUGCCUUUUACCUUCUUCUCAAAUGCUAGGCCUGGAUCAUGAAUUAUAUCUCUCAUGAAAUGCAUCACGUAAUAGCCACACUCUACAUUUGUUGGUUGUCGAGGAGUGCCAUGUAGAUUUUUCCAUAUGACUGAUUUACAUGAUGAUUAAUUGCCUGUGUGAGAGUUAUACAUUUUGAUUGAACUGUUUCAAGAAAAUGAAAAGUGUUAAUGAUAAAAAUAAAAAUCUAAAGCAAAAAUAUUAAACGUCGUGGUAAAUAAGUGAAGACGAUGGUUUUGUUAAAAAAGUGAUGUUGUAUUUCAUUUCAAACGUUGGUAAAUAAAAACCGUCGUUGUGUAGAAUUCUAACGUCGGUGACGAUGAAAAAUGACGUAUAACCAAAAAUUGUUUGUAAAUGAAAGUUGAACAGAAAAAAAUAAAACUUCCUUAAAUGAAAAACACAAACGACGUGGUAUUUCAAUUAAAAUGACGGUUUACAGAAAAUACUGACGUUGUAAAUGAUUUCAAACAUCGGUUUGAAGUUACCAUCGUGUUUUCAUUGUAACGUCGGUAUUAGAAAAAGCCGUAUAUCAUUCAAAUGCAAAUAAAAAAAUGUUAGAUUUUCAUAGAUAAACUUACAUAUUCACUAUAUUUCUCAUGUCCUCGUCAACAACGCGGUUUGGCAAUGAAUCCAUGUAAUAGAUAGUCUCCUUCGCUGGUCUCACAAUUAUUAACACCCAAUGACCCCUACACAUAAUGAUCCAUAUAGGUUAAAUAUACUAGAAAGAAAAAUAGGCAUCAAGUAUAGUUAAGGGGACUAACCUUGGAUUACAAGGCACCAUGUAAAAUUGAUCCCCAUUUGCGUUUUUCAGGCGGUCUGAGAGAUGUUUCAAACGGUAAGAUAACGUUCCAGAUUGAGAGCUGACUUGUCCAAGGUCCACGAAGCCAAUAAGGUUUACCAUAUUUUCUAUUUUUAAAUAGUCAAAUAGGCACCUAAAUAUAUGAAAUUCAAUUAAAUGAGAUUUUAACUUUAAAGAAAGGAAAUGUAUAAUGCAAUCACUGUGGAUCCAAUCUCAACCAUGGAAGGAAAUUGUAAAAUAUCUUCACACAAGAGGAAGGUAUCAUGGUUAAUGCCAAAGGCUUCCUCUGGAAUGUGAAUUCUAAUGGUCUCGUUAAUGGGCUUCAACUUGGUCUCGACAAAUUGAAAUAAGGCUAACAGAGGAGGUGGCAUGUCUAGCUUUGAGAGAUCCUGUUACAACAAAUAAAUAAAGAAAUAUAAGUUAGUUUGUACACUAAGUAAAAUAAACGACUCUAACUAAACCAAUCAAACCGACGUGGUAUAUAAUAUAAUCGACAGUUUCUAGAACAUACUGAAGGAGUAAAGGUUAUAGACGACGGUAAAGACAUAACCAUCGUUAUGUAAAUGUUCUAACGUCGCUGCAUUAUGGAAAGGUCGUCUAAUUAAAAUGCAGUGAAGCCUUUAUUGAAAUACACGACAGUUUAUAAAAUAAACACCGACGUAGUAAAAUACUGAGACGACGGUUAUCAGCAACGUCUAUUUGAAAUUAUAAAUCAGAAAAAAUCAAAUAUCAAAGAUUUUACCGUUUCAUCUUGCCAUUGUUUAGCAACAUCAGCAUCAUUCGUGGGAUUUUCUUCCUCCAAAACAAGGGGUCUCACAUUAGAGCAGCUUGCUUUGUCAGACAUUAGAUUUUUUGGAGUAAUUGGAGUUUUAUUGAGCAAGUUGGGAUCACAGUUGGGAAUUAGUUGACUGAAUUGUUUCAAUAAAAUUUCCCUCUCUGCUCUGACUGCCUCCAAAACAGUUUCUUUUGCCUUAGCUUUAAUCUUUUUGGUUUCUUCUCUCACUGCCUCCAUAACACUUUCCUUCAAUUUGUUAGCAAAUUUUACUCUCUGCUGUCUCGACAAAUUGAAGAAUUGAGUUGGGGAAACCCCAGCUCCAACACCUCUAACUCUCCCACCAUGCUCAGGGGUUCCCAAAGCCAAGGUCAAAAUAUCGUUGCUCUCAGAGACAGCAGAGUGCCCUCGGAAACUUGUUUUUUCAAAUCAUCCUAAAAGUGAGAGAGAGAGAGAGAGAAUGUUAGUGAGUGAACAGAUAGUAAAACAGAUUAAAUAAACAACUAUACAAAAAUAUUAACCGACGUGGUAAAGACUUUAAAAAACUGAAAUCAAUCCCCAAUAGUAACAGGGACCAUGCAGCAACGAUUUGGUUGACAGUAGUAUAGGUUGGAGAUGCUGUUGAUCAUUAGAUACUAUUUUUUUAAAUAUCAAUUCUGUAACAUCCAGACCUAAAAAAUUAAUGAUUUUGAUUUAAAAUUAAAUUUAAAUAAGCAAUUACGAAUUUACCCUUGGGGAAGGGGUAUUUUGGUAUUUUUUUUUUAUUCAGAAAGAGUUUGGGGCAGUGACUAGUAUUUUUGGGUAGAUCGUACUGAGACGAAUCCGUAGACACGCGGUAGGCCUGAAUCGGAGUUGUAACGAAGAAACGGUGACCAAAAUUAGUCCAGUGGCAAACUUGUAAAUAUUUUGAACUUGGGUGUAGAAAAAUCUGAAACUGGCUUCCUCUCUCCUGCGUGCACACGUCCUUCUCUCUCUCUCCUCUCUCUCUCCUCGAUACCAUCACUCUCUGUCUCUCUCUUCGAUUCUCUCAAUUCUGGCCACGGCAAGGGCCGGGACUGGUUCCGAUCAACUCCUCACAAAGCCCCGAACCAGAACCACCACUUUUCUUGGCCGGAAAGCUCGAGUUUCGCGUGGUAAUCUCGACUGGUUUGAACCAGUUUUCCUCCGUCAUUGUGCCGCCGCCAUCGCAGCCCAAUCUCGGUUAAACAAGUGAGGUUUCUUACUCUUUUUCCGAGCUCUAGCUGCCUGUUGGGUAGGAUUGGAUUGAUUUUUUGUCUAGGAUCCCGAUUUUGAAACCUAAGUUUUGACGAAUUUCAAAGUGAAAUUCCGGCCGGUUGCCGUCCUAAUUAGACCUCCCCGUAGUUGAAUAAAGUGAUCCUCGCUUCGAGUAGUAGCUAAGGUAGGAAUGGUGAAUUGCGGUGUGGAGUUUUUCCAUCACUGAAAAUUACUCUACACAUCCACGCGUUGCCAGGGCAUGUGGAGGCGCAUGGGCAAUGUGGUGAGACCACAUUUUAUCCUGAUGUAGUCUCCUAGUCCUCACGUGCGCGUAAGUGUGCUCGAAUUUCAAUUCGAAUGUUGUUUGACUAUCGAACGGAUUUAUGCAUAUUGUUUCUUAUCCGGGUUCAAUAUGUUCGGACCAUUGGAUCGAGUCCAAAUUUACGUAUGUUAAUCUAGGCACCCCUAGGAUCAUGUGCGAAUUCGCGGAUCGUGAAUCGGAGCCCCGAAUGUUCCGAUUCAAUAAUUUGAAGUUUAUGGUUUGCGAUAACCGUCAAUUUCUGACCAAACCUACAGGACGUGUUUCCUAAACCCGUAGUCGGACCUUAGAAUACUCGUUAUGCGUGCACGCACCGGGAACUUGAGAAAAUUAGUAUUUAAUUUGUAAAUUCCGUUUUGAAGUGAUUUUUUAUUAAUUAAGGGUGCGUAUCUCGAAAUAGGUGCUCCAUCACUAGCACGCAGCAGGUAGGACCCUCUUGAGGUCAGGCAGUGUGGGACUACUUGUGAGUGGACAUUUAUUUUAUAUAUGCAUUAUUUUCAAUGAUUGAAAGAAUAUGCAUGAAAUAUAUAUAUUUUUUGGAAUAAAGAUUGAGAAAUUCAUAUGUUGUUAUAUCAGUAUUAUUUAAUUUAGAAUUUGGUUUGAUUUGAUGAUGAGUUAUAUAAAGGUCAAGUUAUUCGUGAUUAAGUCUUGGAUGAAUUUUGGGGGAAUCGGGAAUUGAAUAUUAUGGUUUAUGGUGGGAACUUAUAUGAUUACACUGUGUGGAGUACCAUCCCCUAGUUACUAGGCUUCCCACAUGUGGCGUUGGAAAUUUUCCAGCGUGUGAUGAUGUAGUCUGCACGCAUAGGACUUAGUAUUGGAGCUACACGUGGCGUUGGAAUUUCCGGCAUGUAAGCUAUGGAGUUUCGUCCCCCGGUUGGACCGCUCAUCCCUAGACGCAGGAUAGCAACUGAAAAUCUUGCGGGUUAGCCAAACAAUCCCCCGGUUGGAUUGUUUCCCCGGUACCUAAGUAGUGUGAUAAAUAUUAUGUAUAUUUAUAGAUAUAUAUAUUUCUAUGUGUGUGUGUGUGUGUGUGUGUGUGUGUGUGUGAGUAUAAAUCAGUUAAAGUAUAUGUAGUGGUUGGGUAAGAGCAGUAUAAAUUUUGGGGAUAAAGUUUAUGGAUAGAGUGAUUGAUCUCAAAGGGUUUCGGAGAAUGAUGUUUUUGAUCAUUAAAUAAAAGUUAUGAAUCUGCAUGUCUUGAGCAUUAUUUUUAGACGGUGGGGUUAUUAUGUUGUUUUGAAUGCAAAUUUUGUUUUUCCACUCACAUGUUUUCUGUUUUGCGCCCCCCAAACAGUAGUCGCUCAAGGGAGAGUUGCAAGCCAUGUUCGAGGCCCCGAACUGUGAACAUCAGUAGAUUAGGUUUCGAGUAAUUUCUUUCUACUCAACUGGAUGUUCUUGUAAACUAAAUUCGUUAGAUGCUCUAUUAUUGCCCCUGUUAGGUUUUACUUGUGAGGCCAGAGGCCAUUUAGUUUAUACUGUUGAAUAAUAAAUGCAUGCUGCUGGUUGGGAUUAUAUUGUGCUUAUGCAGGUUGAAAUUUUUGGGAUUGUUCAAUUUACAUGGGAGACUCUAGCAAAAUUUUAGUAGAGAGUCUCGGUUUUUAAUAAGUGGGCCAGGCAUCGGGGUAAUGUCGGAAAUAAGACUGGAUUCGUCCCGGUUUCCGAAGAAUUCGAGGCGGGUCCUGUCAAGUUCCUCCUAUUAACAAUAAUAAAUUAAAUAUUUAUAUAACUGAUAACAGUUCCUCAUAUUAACAAUAAUAAAUUAGUAUUUUGUAUAAUAAACAUGUUUAAUGAAAUUCAUCUUCUUCUAGCAUGUUUAUUUAAAUUCUAAGUUUUCUGAAGAAAAAAAAAAAAAAAAAGGAGAAGGAAAUGUCCUAAAUUAAAUCUUAAAAGUUCAUUUUUUUCUGUCCCUAUAUAUUUUUUACCCAAUUAUAAUUUGAGAAAAAAAGGUGAAUUAACUGUCAUUUCACCUUCAUCAUUUUCAUGAUUUAUAUAAGAUUCUUCAAAGAUCAUUUCCACAAAAAAUUACUUAAAUUCGAAUCCAUUUAACCGUCUAAUUAAAUCGUUAGGACCGUUGAAAUAAAAUUUAAAGUGAGUUUAAAGUGAGUCCUACUAUGUCUCCCUCAAAUAAGAUCAUUUACAGGAUCUGUCGAGUCAUAUGAGAAUGUUUAGCUUUUCGAUCCCAAGAGUUUGGUUCGAUUUUCAUAUAUAUAUAUAUAUAUAUAUAUAUAUAUACAAGUCAAUUUACUUUAAAAAGUUCACCAAAUUUUAUUUUUGGUCUCGGUAGUUUGCUUGAGGGCCUUUUUCUGUCAAUCUAUUUGUUGUGAUUGAAAGAUUUUAUAUAAAACAAAAGAUAUGUUUUUAUCUUAAAAAAUGCUUAUUUUCAGAUCUUUACAUAUAGACAUACAUAUGGCCUGAGAAUUCAAGCAAUAAAGACAUAAGCUGAUGAGCAUUCAUAAUCAUUAGAAUGAGUACUGAAUGGUCAACUCUUUCAAAAUACUUCGGAAAAAAACAAAGGACAAUACUUCCUUCCUUACUCAUAAGAAGGAACUCCUUCUCACCUUCUAUUGUCCCUCAACCACAAAGUAACAAGUGUUCUCUUUUUUUAAUUGUCAAUUUUUUUUUUUUCACUUUUACUGAACCCCUAGCUUUUUACCAAAGCAAAAAACACAAAACAAUAUUCCCAUUGUUUUUUUUUUUCAUUUUGAUUUUUUUCUCAACUUUUUGAAAAAUAACAUUUUUCCUUCUUCAGUAAAAAAUUGAAGUCUUUGUGGUUAAAAGCUAAGGUUUCAGUAAAGGUUUAAAAUAAAUAAAAAGUUUUGACAAUUCAAAAAACAGAACACAUAUCACUUUGUGGUUGAGCCGCAAUAGAAAGUAAGAAAGAAUUCCACCUUACCCAUAAGGAGGGAAGUAUUGUCAAAAAGAAAACAUCUUAAAAAACACACAGAAAACCCACCAUCACUACUUAAAAGAAGUAGAGAAGUCCAACAUUCUGAUUUUUAUACACCUACGUGACGUGAGCAUUCAAUAAUCAUCCUACACAUAUGUUGAUGUGAGCAUUCAAAAUCAUUAGAAUGAUUUAAUUGAAGACUCAACGUACGGACGUCUUUUUCACUUAGAUUCCCUUCCUGUACAAACUUGAAUCAGUUCCUCCACGACCCCAUCAAUCUCUUCAUCCUCUUUCUUGUUCACGUUGUCGCUUAUUUUCAAUGCCUUUUUUCUCACUCCCUCUCCAAAUUUCUCCACAACCACAUCUCUAAUCACCUUUGCGACCUCUUCUCUUUGCAAACUUCCUUCACCUGUUCUCUUAACCUCCACACCAACACCCACCUCCUCCACUAGUCUAGCGUUGAUCGGCUGGUCAAGAUGCAUAGGCAUGGCUAUAAUUGGAACACCAAACUUGAUGCUCUCCAACACUGAGUUCCAUCCGCAGUGACUCACAAACCCCCCAACACUAGAAUGCUGCAGUAUCUUUGCCUGUGGGGCCCAACCCUCCAUUAUCACUCCCUUCUCUCCCACCCUCUGUAAAAACCCUUCUGGUAACACCUCUUCAACCCUAGUACUUCUCUCCUCCUUAGAAAAUCUUAUAACCCAAAUGAAGCUCACUUUGCUAAGCUCUAAUCCGUGAGCUAUCUCUUCUAUUUGCUCCUUGGACAGAAAGUACUCACUGCCAAAGCAAACAUACACAACAGAAGACCUUUCCAUUUUGUUCAGCCAUUUCAUGAUCCAUGUUUCCUCAUCAACUUUUUGAUCCAUUGGCUCUUGAACAAGCGUGCCAACAGGCACGAUCUUCUUCCCCGUUAAAUCAGAGAGAUAAUCAAUAUAUUUUUCUUCAAUCUCGCUGGAUGUCUUGACCAAAAUGAUGUUACAAGAUCGAGCACUGCAUUGCUGAACACGGUCUCCGUCUUUGAUGCCAUUUGCUGAAGAUUCCAACAAAUUGUUGAACUUUUCAGCUUCGUAAUGUUGAAGAUAAAUCGAAGGAAAAGGAAACUUGACACUAGGGUUCUUGAGAUGUUGAAUACUAAAUGAAGUAAAGGCAGCACCCAUGGUGGUGAAUUCAAUGGAUGGAAAAUUUUGCAAUGAAGCUAGAGAGGGCGCCCAUGGUUGAAGAACAUCAUAUAUGAGCAAAUCUGGACUUAGGGUUUUGAGGAUGUUGGAGAAGUUGUUGCUGGACAUGCUGAAAGCCGUUUUGAGAGUGGACAUGAGAUGGGGAGGGAGGCCAUUGGUGGUGUGGUAGUGCGGUGGGAGUUCAGGCAAGUCAUCAUGUGGAAGAUGGAGUUCCACAAAUUCAAUGCAAUGAGAAUAUUUUUGGGAGAGUUUAGGCUUGAUGGAGCUGAGAUUUACAGGCGUGGAACAAAUAAAGAUGUGAAAAUUUCUCUUGGUGGUCAGCUUCUUGGCUAGCUCUAGGUAGGGAGAUAUAUGGCCGUGAGCUAGCCAUGGAAGCAAAAGAAUAGUAAGGCUUCUUUGGUCAGAGAAAACCAUAUUUUGUUUUCCUUUGACUUGUUUUCCUUUGACUCUUUUGCUUGAGGUUGCUCGAUUAUAGGCUUAUUGGUAGUUUGUUUGUGGCUAGCUCUAUGCAUAUAUAUAUAUAUAUAUAUAUAUAUAUAUAUAUAUAUAUACACACACAAAAACGCGUGAUGAUUGGAACAUGCACACGUAAGUUCCAGAGAGUGAUGAUUGGCCUAUGAUAAAGACUCGAAACAAGAAUAGUUUAAAUUUUCUUCUUUGUUUGGCUUGAUAUAAGACGAAUGCACCAAACAAACCGACUAAAUGCCGACACAAUAAUUAGGUACGUAAUAAUAUCAACUUUCAUUAUAUAGAUCUGAGAAACAAAAAGUUGAACUUUGAUGACAAGCGAUAUUAAGGAAGGGCACAAUCGAACUUAGGAUCUCGAAUGUUGAAGUACAUGCUCUUAACAACUUGAGCUAUAAGGUAUUUGUAAUGACAAUUUAUGGUUUUAAUUAUACUUUUGAAUAGUUGCUUCCUUCUCUUUCAUUUUUAUUUUUAUUUGUUUAUAUUUAACUCUAAUUUUAUUUAUAUUUCUGGUCAAGGUAUAAAGACUUUGAAUCUCUCUCCAAUUAUUUUUCACAGCCGAAACUCCUUUAGUUUCCACAAAUCUUUUUAAACAUUUCAGGCAUAUGUAUGUUUCCGAGUCGGAUGGUUCACGUAACCAAGAAAUUUAAACUUGUUUUUGUUUGUUCCUCCGAAGAAAGCACAACAAAAGGACAACCUACAACCAAUACUUCUCAUUGAAUUUGUUGCCGUGAAUGAUUAGGACUCUGCCCAAACUAGUAGUUGCGUUUCUGAAUUGUUUGAAAACACAUAUCAAAUUAUGAUUUCUCCUCCCCGAAAGAAAAAUUGACGUAGAAGUAUCAUGAUCUUGAUGACACAAAUUAGAAUCUAGGGUUUUCGAAGUGCCUAAUGGACAACUACUUAUUUAGAAAUAUAUAUAUUUUUGUGGCUAAAAUUUAAAUUUAUUAUAUAUAUUCUCAAUGCAGAAACACAUAAAUCUAAGUUCGAAUUCAUCCUUUUUUUGUUUUUUUUUUUUUGUUUUUUUAACCCAGAAGAAAAAUUGAGUCCCACUCUGCUGUGUAGAAUGCGCGUUUAGUAUAGAUUUUUUUAUUUUUGAGUCUCUUAUCUGGUUCCCGAGCUUCUACAUUUAGGUCUCGUGUAUUUAUCUGCAUUUUCUUAAAUCUAAAUCACUCAAACAAUCUAACCACUUAACAAAUGACACGUACUCAAACUUAAAAUCAGAAUGGAUGGAGUAGAGGCUUACACCGAUGAUUCUUGGUCAAGACUUGAGAGACAGAUGGAGACGAGGCAUGACAUAAAGUCUGAAGAAGAGAAACGAGGAAGCUUCAUUUAGAUGGUGGUGUAAGUGCAUACGUAAAGUCCAGAUUCAACAGGAAAGCAUCUUAAACGUAAAGAAAAUAAGUUUACCAGAAGCAAAAGAGAUACUGAAGUAAUUGUUUAUCAACUGAACUUAAACGAAAUAUUAACUCUUUGUUGUGCCAUAAGCACAAGAUCUUAUGAAAAAAAAUUCAAGAUAAACCAUAUAAUAUUGGGAGAUUCACGUUUAUACCGAAUAUAGGAAUUCAAAUUAUAAAAUAAAUAAAUAAAUAAAAUAAUCGAUAUGAAAUGGACUUUAGAAACACACACAAAGCCUAUUUACAACAUAACAAAAAGGUUUUUCCCUUCUUUUAAAUUACAAAACUGCCAUUGAUUUCUUAAAACAAACCCAACUCCAAAACCUCAUUAAAAAAGCACAAAACACUCAAUAGGGUGUCAAAGUAAUUUAAUAAUAAAAAAUAAAUUCAAUAAGGCCAAUUGAAUUUUUUGGAUUUUUUUUUGGGUUUGUUUAUAGAAAUUAAUGGUGUAGGGUUUAUCUAUAUUAUUGGUGUUAAGAAUGAAUAAUGACUAAAUAUCUCUAUAAUAUUUUCUAACUCACAAAAUAAUAUAGAAAAUAAAUGCAAGAACAAGAAAAUAGCAAUAUGCAAUUUAACGAAGCUGCUUACAAUCAGUGCAAAUGAGCAAACAAAUUCGCUAUUAAUUUAUGAAGUGUUUUUGUAUUUACAAUACCGCCUCUUGAAUGUCCACCAUACAAUAAUAUAGUUGCAUCAUUAAAAACUUUACUUGAAAAAUCGUUUGGGACAAAACUUAAGCUAAGAGAAAAAGAGUGCAACACAAAUGAUAUUGACAUCACAUAUGUCUCUCCUACAGAGUGAGCUUUGGUGAUGCUUGUAUAAAAAUUGCUUUCACAUCAUUAUUGGGAGAUGUAUGUAUGUCAUCAAUCAUUUGAAUCUUGUUGAGGUUAAAGUAAAACCAAAAAAAUAUCAAGGGCCAUUUUCAUAUAGUUUUUCACAAUAAAAAUUAACAAAAUAACUUCAUGUUCUUUAAUAUCAUCAAAAAAAUAAUAUAAACAAACUCAUAGUUUACCUUUUCAAUGAUAAGUGUUUGGAAAAUUUACAUGGAAUAAUAUUUGGUAUGCUAUGCUAGCAUCUCAUAAGCUCUUCAAGAGACCUAAAUUUUAUGAUAACUUCUUAAAAAAAUUUGAAUACUUUUCAACAAUAUUAAACUUGAAUUCAAACUCAUAAUUCAAUCAAAGUACUCAUUGAGGCAAUUUAGAUCAUUUUCAUUUUAAGAAAAUUGGGUGCAUACAUUGAGCUUCAUGCCCUUUACCUUCUUAGAGAUUUUCUUCGAGCAAUUUAUAUUGCAUGACAGAUUAUAUCUCUUAGAAUUUGUUCUUAUGUAUUCUUCAAGAGAUCUCUUCUUGCAAUAUGCUUCAAACACUUCAUAAUCUUUAUAGAUUUUUCAUGUAGAUUUAAGGUCUCCAUGAAUAUUGAGAUUGAAACAAGGAGUAAAAUAAAAGUUUAAGAAAAAUUUUCCCUGAUUAUUUUGUAAUUAUAAUGUUGGUGAAAACCUAAUUUCCUUUCUGAAAUUUGUGAAAUUUGUUAUUUGGCUAAGCUAAAAGUAUAAUAUUGACAAUAAAACGUAUACGAAAGUUUCUCUUUGGCUGGCUUCUUGGCUGGCUCUAGGAAGGGACAUUGCGGCCAUGAGAUAACCAUAGGAAGCAUAAUAAGAAUGCUUGGAUGCUCUGAACAAUCCAUUUUCUGACUCUUUUUCUUGAGGCGGUUGUUUUCUUAGGCCCAUCAGAGUUUAUGGUCGACAGAUAAGCUUCAAACACAUGCAUUGGUCGUGUCAGUUGCGAUAAACUCUUCCCAACAAUCUGAGACUCACAUCACUCCAAACACAUAAAAAGAAGUGGAAAUUUGCUAUUCUUUGUCUUUGUUUGGACAGCUAAUAGCAAAGCAUUGGAAACAUCGAAAAAAGAAAGUUAAUUAAUUUAAGAAAAACAAAGAAAUCCUUCUUUUUUUUUCUUUUUUUUUUCAGCAAACCGAAACAUAAAAUCCGAAAAAGAAGAAGGCAUGUCCAAAAUUACAUCUUGAAUUUAUUUUGGAGAUUCACUAUUAUACUCAAAUUAUAUAUGAAAUAAAUUUUAGAAACACACAUGACGCCAAUUUACAAUAUAACAAAAAAACUUUUAACUUCUUGUAAAUUACAAAAUUGUUAUCGAUUUCUUAAAACAAGCCUAAUCCUAAAACCUCAUAAAAAAAAAAUCAAAACACUCAAUAAGGCAUCAAAGUAAUUUAAUAAUUAAAAUUAAAUUUAAUAGGGUCAUCUGUCAUUUUUUGGAUUUUUUUCGAAGUUGUUUAUAAAAAUUAAAAUAAUGUAUAGUUUGUUUAUAAAAAUUAAAUGAUGUAGAGUUUCUUUAUAUAAUUAAUGUUAAUAAUGAGUAUAUGAAUAAAUGUCACUUUUCUUUAUUAACCAUUUAUAAUAUAUGAACUCAAGACUUCCUAUCGAACACCGAAUGGUCUUUCCAUUCCUUGUUAAUUCAAAGUCUGAAAAUGUUCGGUGUCAGCUCAUGAAUUUAAAGGCUUAAAGGCUCAAAACUUGAACGAAUAUGAAAGAAAAAAGUCGUUCACCGUUCAUCCUCUUCCUGCAGCUGUGCAUGCUAAUCACCCACUGAAUUAAACAUACAAAUACGCUUUAUGUUUUCUCAAAUUGUUCUUUGAACUAAGUAGAGGUUGGAAUACACUCGGGGUCAACAUUGUUCAAAUACAAAACACUUCUUAAUUUUAUAUUUUAUCAAAACAGAUCGAAACUUCAUUCAAACUGAGAACCUAGAUUACAAAACUACCAGAAAAACUGGAAUCUGCACUGUGGCCUCAUUAAAACCUUGCUUUAAAAAACUCCUAAAAGAGGAGAAUUCAGUCAAGAAAAAAGAGUACCACAGCAAGUGAAAUCCGAUAUCAUACUUCAUUCCUUUCUCAUACAAAGUUGAAUCAACUGCUCUACCACCCCAUCUAUCUCUUCAUCCUCUCUCUUUUUCAUGUUGUCUCUCAAUUCCAUUGCCUUUCUUUUCAAACCCUGUCCAUUUUCUUCCACCACCACAUCUCUGAUUACUUUUGCUAUCUCGUCCCUUUUCAGCCUCCCGUUCUCGUUGCCGCCUCCUCCCAUUCUCUUAACCUCCACACCAACUCCAACGUCCUCUACUAUUCUAGCGUUAAUAGGCUGGUCAAGAUGCAUAGGCAUGGCUACAAUUGGAACGCCAAACUUGAUGCUCUCCAACACUGAGCUCCAUCCACAGUGGCUCACAAACCCACCAGCACUAGAAUGCUUCAAUACUUUUGCCUGUGGAGCCCAACCAUCCACUAUUAUUCCCUUCUCCCCCACCCUCUCAAAAAACCCUUCUGGUAAUACCUCUUCAACCCUAGUACCUUUCUCUUCCUUAGGAAAUCUUAUAACCCAAAUAAAACUCACUUUGCUAAUCUCUAGCCCAUGAGCUAUCUCUUCUAUUUCCUCCUUGGAUAAAAAGUACUCACUGCCGAAGGAAACAUACACCACCGAAGAUCUUUCUCUAGUGUUUAGCCACUUCAUGAUUUUUGUUUCCUCCGAAUCCACUUCUUGCUCUAUAAGGUCUUGAACAAGUGAACCAACAGGCACAAUCUUCUUCCCAAUUAGAUCAGAGAGAUAAUCAAUAUAUUUUGCUUCAAUCUCUCUAGAACUCUUAACUAAUACGAUCUUACAAGAACGAUCGCUGCACUGCUUAGCACGGUCUCCAUCACUGAUGCCAUUUGAUGAAGAUUCUAACAACAUCUUGAUCUUACUAGUCUCGUAAUAGAUUGAAGGAAACGGAAAUUUGACACCAGGUUUCUCGCCAUGGUGGGUACAAACUGACAUCAUGGCAGCACUGGUUGUGAAGAACUCGAUGGCUGGAAUGUUUUGUAACAAAGCUAGAGAGGGUGCCCAUGGUUGAAGAAAAUCAUAAAUUAGCAAAUCCGGGUGUAGGGUUUUGAGGAUGUUGGAGAAGUUAGGGCUUGCCCUGUCGAAGGCGGUUUUGAGAGUGGACAUGAGGUGGGGUGGGAGGCCAUUGGUAGUGUGGUAAUGAGGUGGGAGUUCAGGCAAGUCGUCAUAUGGAAGAUGUAGUUGCACGAGUUCAAUGCAACGAGAGUAUUUUUCAGAGAGUUGUGGCUUGAUGGAUCUGAGAUUUACAGGUGUGGAACAAAAAUAGAUGUGAAAAUUUCUGUUGGUCAGCUUCUUUGCUAGCUCUAGGUAGGGAGAUAUGUGUCCAUGAGCUAACCAUGGAAACAUAAGAACACUGAAUUUUCUUUGCUGAGAAGAAUCCAUUUUUUCAGACUCUCUCCAUUCAGGUCGUUUGUUUUAUAGAUCUAAUAAGUGAGAUGAAAAGAUGACAAAAUAUAUACAGAUGAGUCAUGUGAAUCUAGGUUUUUUCUUCGUAGUCAGAAGAGUCGUGCGUAAGUGCAUGCGUGUAUACAAGACAAAAGACAUACGUUAGACUUCUUUAUCUUCGUUCGUGCUGAUAUAUAUUAAGAAACAGACCCUUGCAACUCUAAUAUCCUAGACAAAAAUUCAAUUUUAAAAACUGAUGCUAUGUCCUGUGUUUUCCUAAACAAUCCCUAUUUUCUGUAGUCUUUCAAUUAUUCUAAAUUUGCUCAACAUUCAAUAUAACAUCAAUUUCUUAUAAAUCCCUGAACUUUCUCUAGCAUUCAAAAUUUUAAAACAUUCUCAAAGUAAUUCGGCUUCAAAGGAAUGGUAAACUUAGUAAUGGCUUCUUUUCCCCUUUCACGAUGCAGUGGCUGAGAGUUCUGAGAACGGAAGUUGUAGUUGGGUGACUUUGAUUCUUUUUAGCUGAUGCCUACUGCUUGAAUGAAAUGGAGCAAAGAGGUCAUCAGUACUUACACUGCUACUAGGAGGGUAAGCUUGAUUAUGUGUAUACUAUAACUUUAGAGUUUUGGUAUUUGGAAUGAUGAUAAUUUCAAUGUUACAUUUAUUUUGUUUACUACACUAUGUUUCUUUGUUGAACUCAAAUGUCAUGCUGAUAAAAAGAAAUAUAUUGUUGUAUGAAAUUGAAUCAAUAAGGAAAUUGACUGAGAUUUAAAAAUAAAAUUACACAGACACAGCAUGCAAUAUUAAUGCAAUAUUAAAUCUGUGUUAAAUAAUGUAGGACAGAUAGAUUAGCUGAUCGAGGAGCAGCUGGAUAAGCCCGUGCAUGUCGUUGUGCCAGAAAAGCCCAAUUCGUGCAAGUAUGGGCCCUGAACUCUUAAUUAGGCUAUGAUCUGUCAUUUUGAAGAGAACGGCGUGACAAGUGCAACUCACUGCUGUAUUGUGACAUACGGACUAUUUUAGUCAAAUUCUAUCAUUUACAUUGCAUUUUCAGCAUUUAAAGUUUUUUAAAAAAUUUGGAAACUUUUGUUAUUUUCCUUUUUUGUUUUCUAAUUAGCUUUCUUAGCAAGUCUAGGGGUUCUCUUGUAUAAAAGGAAUGCAUUGGAGCAUCCUAAACUAUUCAGUUUAUUAUCAAUCAAAUACUUUUGAGUUAUACUAAAUUUCGGAUGGAUCCGGCAUGUUACUUGCAGGGUUAUCAUUCGAUCUCCUUAUUCCCUAUAUCUCGCUACGUCAGCUGUCAUGGCCAACUGGGGAAGUCGUGUAAUGGAUAUCACUUAUGGUGUGCACCAUGUGUAGUAAAUAGUUGUCCAAAACCUUUCCCGCAGCUCUAGUGCAAGGGUGUAUUGUGUGCACGUUUGAGGCGUGCAUAUAGGUUCCGUAAAUUUCAUGAGCUUUUUAUGGCUAGUUCUUUCGGGAAGUGCAUAGGGAGUGAUCAACUUCUUGGUCACUAACCUGUUUGAUAUUCUUAGUAAUGGGGUGUUAGUUGGAUUGACUUAGACUUUUAGUUUGCUCUCAAGUGGUCCCGAGUUGAAGCCCCCACGGUAUCCGUGUGUGUGAAUUUUCCCCUUCCCUUUCCUAAUUUAACAACAACAACAAAAAAUACUUAUUUGAUAUCCUGGUUUAUUUAUUUAUUCUUUUUUAAAAAAAAAUUUAAAACUUUUUUUAUUAAAAGGGGUAAUAUCAUACUAAACUCACACACACUACAUAGAUGAUAGGACUUGAAUUCACCAUAAUCGUUUUUUAGGAGCAAUUACUUAUGGUAAACAAUUACUUCAAACCACUACACUAGUAGUCAUUAGCGGCGUUUUAUAUUCUUGCACAAGCUAUGUGGUCACUAAUAUUUUGUGUAUUAAGGGCUUGUGGUGUUUCAAUGUUGAUAAAAAUGCCAAAUCAGAAUUCAAUACAAGAGUACAACCACCUAAAGGAUAGCAAUGAACAGAUACUAUUUUAUCCACACAAAAAAAAGUUUAUCUGAUAUGAGCAUUAUUCAAAAUCAUUAGAAAAUGAGUACUGAAUGCUAAAAAGACGCUAAAACGUAGAGUCAAAGCCAACAUUCACAUGAUCGGCCAUCAGAUACGCUUAGCAUUCAAAAUCAUUAAAAUUAUUAUUGAAGUCUCAACUCCUUUUCACUUAAAAGUAGAUAUUUGUUUCCCUUCUCCUACAAAUUGCAUCAAUUCCUCCACGACCCCAUCUAUCUCUCCAUCUUUGUUUUUCAUGUUGUCUCUUAAUUCCAAUGCCUUUUUUCUCAUGCCCUCUCCAAUUUUCUCCACAACCACCUUUCUGAUCACCUUCGCCAUCUCUUCUCUUUGCAAAAUUCCUUCUCCUGUUCUUUUAACCUCCACACCAACACCCACCUCCUCUACUAAUCUAGCGUUAAUUGGCUGGUCAAGAUGCAUAGGCAUGGCUAUAAUUGGAACACCAAACUUGAUGCUCUCCAACACUGAGCUCCAUCCACAGUGACUCACAAACCCACCAAC
rnacentral:lncRNA from 1 species